rnacentral:tRNA from 1 species
GCCCUUGUAGUCCAAUUGGUAGAGGCGGACGACUCAAAAUCGUCAUGUUGUUGGUUCGAAUCCGACCAGGGGCACCA